rnacentral:rRNA from 1 species
GCCAGAGCCAUAUCAACCUGCAGUUCUUGCCUGGGUUGCUACUGAAGCUAAGCAGGGUUGAGCCUGCCCAGUACCUGGAUGGGAGAUCUCUUGGGGAAAACUAAGGUUGCUGCUGGAA